UGCGUGUUUGUGUCAAGGGUUUUGACUUAAAAUGAUGUCUCCGCUCGCAUUUCAUAACCUUGAAUAUAUUAAAGUCCUUCAUUUAAUAGCAGAUAAGCACAGAUAUAGGAACAGCCCAGUCAUUGUAUUAUUAUAUAUCUUUUUUUUUUUCAGGUAUGUCUCUCAGAACUAUUCUUAAAGGAAUCGUUUUCCUGACAAUGAACAUUUUGUCGUUCCAAACCUGUAUGGCUUUCUUUCUUCUGAGGAACACUGAAGGAGGCCUUUCUAUAAAACACAGUUAAAAUGUAGAACAAUAUUUGUAACUUUUGAGUGAUUAGUUUAGGCAAAUGACUGACAUUAGGGUUUGCAUAAUUUCUAAGUAUAGCACAUCUCUCUGAAAUGUUUGAUUCUGAUUGGUCAUUCACAAAAGUGUGUGUGGUCAGAUAUUUGGAUUGAAUUGCCACUGAACUGUGUAAUAAGUGGGAUAUUAUGAUCAUUACACCAAAAAGACUAUAUAAAUAGACCGGAUUUAUAAUGUGCCAAUGAUGUGUUAACUGUACAUUACCCUCUACUCAUCUCUGGAUAUUUUAGGAACAAAAUGCUGCUGUUUAGAUGGUUUGUUUGUAUGUGUACAGUAAUCACUCCUGAAUUUGUCUUUCUGUUGCAGGGGGAACCAGGUCUGCCAGGUGCAGAAAAACUCUCGGUUGAGCAGCAAGCUCAAAAAGGGGACCAGGGUCCCCCAGGAAUUCCUGGAGAAAAGGUAAUUGCCUCAGCAGCAUUUUCAUGAAUUUUUUUUUUUUUUUUUGGUCUUCCUUAUAUGAAGUUCACCCAUGUGCUGUGAACAUGCCUCUGUCUCUCAGCACUUUACUAAGUGCCGGCAUGUAAAAGAGCCAGCUGCUUUGUCUUCAUAUUUAACAUCUUGCUUCUGGAUGUAAUCAAGUUUUUUAAAAGAGCAUUAAUGACCAUGGACAGGUGGAAACCUAGAUACAGGACGCACCUGCUGUAUUUACUGCAAUGCUUUCUGAGAACUGAAACCCUGAUCCUUUACCCAUCAUCCCCAGGGAGACGCUGGCCUGCCGGGUCAAACAGGAGCACCAGGGAAAGAGGGCAAAAGGCAUUUGUCUUCGCACUGAUGUUGCUAAUAAUGGGCGCCUUGUGGACCGUUCUGCAUGUGCGUUGCUGUGUGUGUGUGUGUCCUGUCAGAGACAGACAGCAGGAGUAUGAGACAUACCAGUGGGAUGUGGACCAGUUGGCAGUGCUUUUCAUUGGCUCGCUGUGUUAGAUUAGGCUGCACGCAUGCCAGUGACCUCUCGAUGGGCACCUGUAGGGUGAGGUUAUUGGCCGGCAGACUCCUGAUGCGUCUGCACCCCUCUCUGUCUGGACAUGCAGUGGAGGAUGGCCAGGAGAUAUUUAAGCAUGUGUAAACGCUGGUUAAUUUUAUCUUGGUAUGAGUGGAAUGAAAUUUGAAGUGUAAUAUUGAAGGAAUAUUUUGGGCUCGGUGCAAGUUAAACUCUGUCAACAGUGUUUGUGGCAUUAGUCUAGUUAUAUAAAUUCUUCCAUGCAAAAUUUUUUUAUUUAUUUGAGCUGUAAAAUUGUUCUAAGACUACAUUUAUUAACACUGGUGGUUACAGAUUACAAUAAAUGGGACUACUGAUUUAAGUAGUGUUUUCAAUUACCAUAACAAUUUCUUUGGAUGGAGUCUGCUUAUAUAAAUAGUACUUUGCUAAUAGUUAUGUCACAACUUUCUUGUGCAUAUUUGAAAGUUGAAAGCCUGAAUCUAGCUUUUUUAACAUUUAGCUUUAUUUUAACAAUGUUAUUUGUUUUGCAAUAUAUUUUUAACCUUGUUAGACUUCUCUUAAGUGAAUAUCAUUUAAAUGCACUCGUGUGUAUGUAUAUGUGUAUGUUUUUAUGUAUGUGUAUACAUGUAUACAUGUAUGUAAUUUUUAUUUCAUUGGAUUAAAACAUUUCAGCAGUCUAAUUUUGACAUUUUUAGACUUGCUUGCACUCUCAGCAAUAUUACGAUGAAAAUCACUUUCAUAUCUACAGUUUUUUCAUUUUAGGAUGUAUUCUAGUGUUGGGUGAUAUGGUCAUUUUUCAAAUCGUCAUAUCGUCAGCCCAUGAGAUCGACGAUACACGAUAUCAUGGGUGGAUACGUGCAUGGGUGGGGCAAGAGAGAGACUCUUUGUUCUUGUCAUAGCAUAACUAUUUGGUGUUUUAAACCAUGCAGGUGCACAUGAUAUUCAUAUCAAGAUUCAUAUCAACAGAACUUUUGCAGACUUUUUUAAGCCUAUGGAAUCACCAAUAAUAAUAAAAAAAAUACUUUCAAACAUACUGAAACUAACUUUAAAUAUAAAAAUACUGUAUUUAAAACCACUAGUUCAUAUAUAGUCGGACGCAAGUGUCAUAUCGCGCGUCCUGUGACAAAUUUGCUGCAUUUGCGCACGGAAGUUAUCAGUCUGAAUGUUCUGCAAAAUCAUUCAAUAUCGCAUUCAUUAUCGAAGGCGAUUCAUCUGGGAUAAUGAACGUGAUAUUGCGUAGCUUGUCAGUGAUCUACGGCUCUGUCUAUUAAAUGUCGCUCCAUUUGAAAGCAGGUGAUGGUGAUUUAUGCAUAUGUUAAGAACUAUUUUAUUGCAUAAAAUGUAUUUUAUUUUUGCUGCAUUGGAUAAAAACACCCCAGCUGUUUUAUCAGUGAAGUAUCUUAUAGUGGAACUAAUGCAUUAAAGGUGCAGUAGACAACUUUUGUAAAAAAAAAUAAUAUUUUUUUACAUAUUUAUUAAACCUGUCAUUAUGUCCUGACAGUAGAAUAUGAGACAGAUAAUCUGUGAAAAAAAUCAAGCCCCUCUGGCUCCUCCCAGUGGUCCUAUUGCCAUUUGCAGUUACAGACCGCUCCCGGUAAGAAACAACCAAUCAGAGCUGUGGUCUUUGUUUGUGUUCAAAAUGUAGAAAAAUAUAAAUGUAGUAUAUAAUAAACGAGUACACCAUGAAUCCAUUUUCCAAACCGUGUUUUUGGCUUGUCCUGAAUCACUAGAGUGCACCUAUAAUAAGUGUUUAUAUUUGGACUAUUUUAGAUUGCUUCGGGGGUACCGCGGCAGAGUAAGCCAGUACCUUUGUGAUUCUUCAUAGACAUAAACAGAGAGAAGUAGUUCCGGCUACGAUGUUCUUCCGCAAGACGCAAGCGGUUCUGUUUAUUAACCGCUAGAGCGUCAAAAGUUCCCUACCGCAGCUUUAAGCAGGAGACGGCAUGUGUGUUUGCCGGCUUCAGCACCUAAUUUGGUGGAUAUGACAUUGUCUAAGACCUUCUCUAUUUAUAUCCGUGUUGGAAUACCCUAAGCACAUUCAGUUUUCCGGGCAUCUAUUCUUUGUUGUAAGAGGCACACACAUGUGUCUGGUGUUUAUGUCUCUGUCCUUCAGAUUAGCAUCUCAAACUUUCCUUUAUUCCAGUUUCUAUAUUUGUAUAUGAAUUUGUAUUAAAUGGAUGCUAGCAACUGGAGAAGAACAUGUACUUUGUUUUACACUAUGGGAAUGAAUGAUUACCUAUUCAUAUAACAUGGUUACUUUGGCACUGCAAGAUACUUAUAAACAUAACAUUACUCCUAGCAUAUAACUGAGAAAACUGGUAAUGUCUUAUAAAACAUUUACAUGUUUUUCGGUGGUGGUAGUGAAACUGCGGUUUUUAGCAAUCAUCUCACUUUGCUGUGAUAUUUGCACCACAGUACAUUAUCCAAAAACAAUCCUAUGCCAUUAGUAUACAUUGGCCUUAAUUUUGCCCUUUAAAUACAUAUCGGUGGGUUAUAUUUAUAUGCAGUUACUGGCAUAGCUCUUCUCUGUGUUAGCAUAAUUUUCAUUUUCAGGUAAAUAAAACACAGUCAGGCCAUAUGGAGAUUUCAAGAGUUGACGCUCUCACAGCGGGAGUUUACUCCUAGAUUUAUGCCCUUCACAGGUAGGCUGGCUUCAGUUAACUAUUUGUGGUCUAACAUUGCGGAACCCGGUGCAGUGACCUUGUCGUAUGGCGCUAUUAUCUGAGCAAUAGAUCUGAGUGUGUAAUAUUAACCUAUGGCAGCAGCCUGUGGAAGAGGAAGACAGAGACAAACGUCCUCACCCAAAGGAAAAGAAUUGCUUGAGUCUCCGAUGAGGAGAAACGGAGGGAAAAAGGAGAGAGAGGGAGGAUGGAUGGCCGCGACUAGGGACAGAUGUGUCGAGUGAUGAUUUAUCUGACUGUCUCAGCCUGUUCCCAGGAUGCCUUGGUGUAGCAAGAGCCGCACUUGCAUGGGAUAAACACAUUAAGCGCCCAGUUAAUUAAAAGGGCCACACAGGUGACCUGAGACCUUGAGGGUUUGAUUCUGCUGGUUACGGACUAGAUACAGUAUGCAAUCAGGAUGUGUGUGUGUGUUAGAAGGAUGUGUGGUGAAAUGGACUCUGUCUGUGAUACUGUUGAUGGGUAAUUUAGGCCAAAGCAUCUUGCUUAAAUGAAAAGGAGGCUUGCUCAAUGGCCAUGAUGCAGUCCGGGUUGACCCUAAAAAUUUUAAUAAAUUUCACUGGUGUUUCUCAAAUAGCUCCCAGUCUUUUUGACUCAAAGACCCCUAAUCAUCAAACAGUUGUCAUUAUUUGUUUUUAAUAUCAGUAAUAAUUUCUUAUUUUAAUGGCUUCAAGUCAUCCUGUGUUUCCUUUUUUGCUUUGGUGCCUAUUUGAGAACCACUUGUAUAUGAUAUUUAAUUGUACAUGCUCAUUUCUAACUUGACACCCAUUUACCAGUUUAAAAUGCAAGUAAUGUACUUAAAUGUAAUGGUUAUUAUUUUUUAUUAUUAAAAAUAGUUUAGUAGACUCUUAUUAUUGGCCAGUAAUUUUUGACUUAUUGUUGUUGCCCACAAUAUUAAUAUUGGUGCAUCUCUUUUAUUUAUUUUUUUAAAGCUUUGAUCUUCCAUUUUCAUUAUACUGAAAAAGGUGCAUUCUGAAGUAAAGUGCAUUCUAAAAAAAAGAAUCUAUUUGUGAUCCAUGGAAGAAAAAGGUUAUAUUGGUUUGGAACAACCCAUGGGUUAGCUAUCUCUUUAAAACACUAACUCAGAAUGAAAUGAGGCGCUGCUAAAAAGAACAACAAUUUAAAGAGCAGCAAUAUUUAUGCUUCUGCUGUCAUGCACAUUUGCUGACUGAUGUUUGUACAGUAUACAGUGAAGUUAAUUGGAUAGAUGACUGCAAAUUGCCUGAUUAGCAUUUAGUCUUCUUUCAUUGAGCAUUUGGACCUUCUUUGAUUACAAACUGAAAUAAGUUGUCACCGUAGCCUGCUGUGACUCCACUGCCUGACCUUGUUUGUUCAAGUUUGCCGAGGCAGGAAUCCUGGACCGAGCGCUUCAGUGGCACCAAUCUUUGGUCUGCAGGUCAGUCCAGUUGCUGUCCGGUAAGGUCAAGGGGUAGAACGAUGUGACCUCAUUAUGGUUUCUAGUGCUGACAUGGGG
rnacentral:lncRNA from 1 species